UUAAAUUGAAGAGUUUGAUCAUGGCUCAGAUUGAACGCUGGCGGCAGGCCUAACACAUGCAAGUCGAACGGUAACAGGAAGCAGCUUGCUGCUUUGCUGACGAGUGGCGGACGGGUGAGUAAUGUCUGGGAAACUGCCUGAUGGAGGGGGAUAACUA
rnacentral:rRNA from 7 species